UAAUACGUAGGCAGCAAGCGUUGUUCGGAAUUACUGGGCGUAAAGCGAGUGUAGGCGGUCGGCCAAGUCUGUUGUGAAAUCUCCCGGCUCAACUGGGAGGGUGCGACGGAAACUGGUCGGCUAGAGUGCGGGAGAGGAGAGUGGAAUUCCUGGUGUAGCGGUGAAAUGCGUAGAUAUCAGGAGGAACACCGGUGGUGCAGACGGCUCUCUGGACCGCAACUGACGCUGAGACUCGAAAGCGUGGGGAGCAAACAGGAUUAGAUACCCUGGUAGUCCACGCCCUAAACUAUGCAUACUUGGUGUAGGCUCUUCAGUGAGUCUGUGCCGGAGUUAACGCGUUAAGUAUGCCGCCUGGGGAGUACGGUCGCAAGGCUG
rnacentral:rRNA from 1 species